UACGGAGGAUGCAAGCGUUAUCCGGAAUUAUUGGGCGUAAAGCGUCCGUAGGUGGCUAAUCAAGUCUGCUGUCAAAGCGUGGAGCUUAACUCCAUACCGGCGGUGGAAACUGAUGAGCUAGAGUGCGAUAGGGGUAGCAGGAAUUCCCAGUGUAGCGGUGAAAUGCGUAGAGAUCGGGAAGAACAUCGGUGGCGAAAGCGCUCUACUGGACCGCAACUGACACUCAGGGACGAAAGCUAGGGGAGCGAACGGG
rnacentral:rRNA from 1 species